rfam:Fonticula alba strain ATCC 38817 mitochondrial scaffold supercont2.211, whole genome shotgun sequence.
GGAUGGAUGUCUGAGUGGUUUAAAGAGAUAGUCUUGAAAACUAUUAUACAGUUUGUAUCGUAGGUUCGAAUCCUACUCUAUCCA